CCUACAUCGUGACUUAGCGCAUGUGACUUUAUGUUUAUUGUCUUCGGGGCUUUCUGAUGGAGAAUGCAGGAGACAGGAUCCCUCCAUGUACUCAAGAAUGUUUGCACAACAUGCACAGAUCCACUGCAGCAGCCCCAGCUGUGGGGUUUCCCCAGCAGAGCAGAGCCCUGGGCACUUGUUCCAAUUUGCUCUAGUCUAGACUCUGGAGAUAGCUCUGUCUGAAAGAGAAGCACGGACACUCAUGGUUCAAAGCUAAUUAAGUCAGUAAGAUAAACAAGAGAUAGUCCACUGGUUUCGCUCCGGAGGAAGUAGAAGCCCCUGUUCUUAAUCCAUAAAGAUGACUCACUGCAAGAAAAGCAAGCAUCUGACUCUGGUCCUGCUUAUCAGAGCAUCACAUUCAGGAACCUGACAGAGUUGAAGCCAAGGAAACCUCAGGAGACAAAUGGAGAGAAAAUCCGGAUCUUUUAUUCCACAGCACUCAGUUUUGAGAAGCUGUGAGGCUGUAGCUCUUGCAGCCAUCUCACCACCACAGAAAAUCUGAGCAAGUGCAGAGGAAACAGAGUUUAGACCAAGAGAGACAGAUCCUGGGUUCUGCGGCUUUGCUGGGGUCCAUGAAUAACACCACAGCCCAAGUCAGCUCUAAUCCCUACAUUCACUGGUUUUCUUUGUUGGUGGCUUAAACCAGUGUGAACUAGUAUCACAGGACUCUACUAUUAUGGAAUUUAAUGGCCCUGUGUAAUUUUUAACGAUAUUCAACAUCAUAUUCACCCUCAAGUGGCAAAGACAUAGAGAUAUCAGGAAUGAUUUGGAAAUGCAGUGAAUAUAUUCAAAAGGAAAAAUCCAGUAACUGCUGUGAACAACAGCAAUGUGUUUUGAAUUCCUUGUGUUCUCUCAAGCUCUGGGGUAUUGUCUGUUUAAAUUAGCAGUUUUAAGGGUGCCUGGGUGGCUUGGUUGGUUCAGCAUUGCCUUGGGCUCAGGUCAUGAUCUGUGGGUCC